AGAGUUUGAUCAUGGCUCAGGAUGAACGCUGGCGGCGUGCCUAAUACAUGCAAGUCGAACGAGGUGGAUGGGAGCUUGCUCCUUGAUACCGAGUGGCGAACGGGUGAGUAACACGUAGGUAACCUGCCUUUCAGUUUGGGAUACCCAGAGGAAACUUUGGCUAAUACCGGAUAAUUGGUUUGGAGGCAUCUCCGAAUCCUAAAAGGGGCCCUUAAAGCCCCGCUGAUUGAUGGACCUGCGGCGCAUUAGCUAGUUGGUGAGAUAACAGCCCACCAAGGCGAGGAUGCGUAGCCGACCUGAGAGGGUGAACGGCCACACUGGAACUGAGACACGGUCCAGACUCCUACGGGAGGCAGCAGUAGGGAGUUUUCGGCAAUGGGCGAAAGCCUGACCGAGCAACGCCGCGUGAGUGAUGAAGGUCUUCGGAUUGUAAAACUCUGUUGUAAGGGAAGAACGGUACGGUGAGGAAAUGCUCCGUAUUUGACGGUACCUUAUUAGAAAGCCACGGCUAACUACGUGCCAGCAGCCGCGGUAAUACGUAGGUGGCAAGCGUUAUCCGGAAUUAUUGGGCGUAAAGAGUGAGCAGGCGGCAGGAUAAGUUUGAAGUGAAAGCGUGGGGCUCAACCCCAUACAGCUCCAAAAACUGUCCAGCUAGAGUGCGAGAGGGGUAAGCGGAAUUCCAUGUGUAGCGGCGAAAUGCUUAGAUAUAUGGAGGAACACCAGUGGCGAAGGCGGCUUACUAGCUCGAUACUGACGCUCAGUCACGAAAGCGUGGGGAGCAAAUAGGAUUAGAUACCCUAGUAGUCCACGCCGUAAACGAUGUCAACUAAUUAUUGCUGUGAGGCAGUAAUGAAGCUAACGCAUUAAGUUGACCGCCUGGGGAGUACGGUCGCAAGACUGAAACUUAAAGGAAUUGACGGGGACCCGCACAAGCAGUGGAGCAUGUGGUUUAAUUCGAUGCUACGCGAAGAACCUUACCAGGGCUUGACAUGGAUUCUAAGGUGCCAGAAAUGGAUAGAUAUAUGGAUCACACAGGUGGUGCAUGGUUGUCGUCAGCUCGUGUCGUGAGAUGUUGGGUUAAGUCCCGCAACGAGCGCAACCCUUGUCCUUAGUUGCUACAUUCAGUUGGGAACUCUAGGGAGACUGCCGAUGCAAAUCGGAGGAAGGUGGGGAUGACGUCAAAUCAUCAUGCCCUUUAUGUCCUGGGCGACACACGUGCUACAAUGGUCGGUACAAAGAGCAGCAUAUUGCGUGCAACACCGCGAGGUGAAGCAAAUCUCGGAAAGCCGAUCUCAGUUCGGAUUGGAGUCUGCAACUCGACUCCAUGAAGUCGGAAUUGCUUGUAAUCGUAGAUCAGCCAUGCUACGGUGAAUACGUUCCCGGGUCUUGUACACACCGCCCGUCAAACCAUGAGAGCUGGUAAUACUCGAAGUCGUUAUCCUAACCGCAAGGAGGGAGACGCCUAAGGUAGGACUGGUGAUAGGGGUUAAGUCGUAACAAGGUAACC
rnacentral:rRNA from 1 species